ensembl:lncRNA
AUGGGAGAAGAGGAGGAGGUCUCCAGAUCCCGGCGACCCAGAAACCUUCCCAGCAAACAGGAGGCCUACAGAAGCUCCGAUGAGGAACCAGAGACUCCCAAGGCUGAGAAGUACCUUCAUCAAAACGGUCGGAAAUUGAGCGCGUGGGACCUUGAACCUUCGCAAAAUGCAAGUAAGACAAGUUUGAGGAACCAAGAACAAGCCCGCAGCAUCUCCAAGUCAGGGGCGCGUUCAGGGGUGCCAGAGGUCACAGAAGGACGUGGUACAUCCGCGUGGUCCAGGGCUCCACGGAAGAGACUCAAAGUCAAAUCUGAGGAAGAGGAGAGCCAGAGCAGCACCGGAGAGGAGGAAACCAGCAGAACCGAGCCCAGAAUUGCUGAGCAGGCCAAGCGCCUGGAUGGCGAGUCCAACAGUUCCGACUCUGAGAGUGAAGAGGUGCCAAGCCGCAGACGGAAGAAAAGGACAGAGAUUUCCUCUGAGGAAUGGCAGCAGAGCGAAGACUCAGAGAAGGAGAUGCCAUUUCCCCAGAGACGGCCAACCAUGCGGGCCCACGCAAAGAAGAAGUACAUCACGGACUCUGAGGAGGACGUGAAUUCUGAGGGACGGAGCCGGCCAAGGCGCGGAACUGGCAGUGCCGGCGCAGUUAGAGACGCCACCAACCGGCGUGCAAAAGCCGAAAGCUGCUCCUUCAAAAGGAAACGGAUCAGAACUUCAGAGUCUGAAGACGCGGGAGUGGGUUCGAGGACCAGGGACGAAAGCAAGUGUAGGACCCGCCCGGGAAGAAGAGGGCAAAGGUCAAAGCACUUCAGGAGAGGCUCGGACAGCAACUCUGGCGGUGGUAAGCAAGCGGAGAACGGACCGUCGCAGGAGCGUUCAAGAGCGGCCGGCUGCAGAGCAAAACGGAGAAACGUGCGGCGGGCCUGCAGCGGGAGCAGCAGCGCGAGCCGCUCCGAGAGCCCAGACGAGUCCAGCAGCGAGCCGCGCUUCUCCAGCUCGGACUCUCGCAGCCGUCCAAAGAGACCGGCGAGGGGGAUCACCCGAGGGUCCGCACGCCAUGACAGGAGUGCCACACCAGACAGCGACGCCUCCUACGGCAAGCCUGUCCGAGCCACACACAUUCGAACCAGGAAUCUGGGCAAACGGACGGUGAACUACCGAGACAGUGAGUGA